rnacentral:lncRNA from 1 species
CUGAGGUGCGUGUGACAGUUCCUUCACCUUGAGCCUGACAGAGCGCGGACUAGCCGCGGUGAAUUGACUCAAGACCUAGUCGAGUGGUAUAGUUGGCUAAGGUAAAGUAACCUUAGGAAAGAAUGGCCAAUGAGCAUAGUGUGAAUAAGAAUAAAUAAUAAAGAAUAGUAAAUGCUAAAGAAUAGCUAAUAAUGUAAAGAAUGAUUAGCUAUAAAGAAUGGCUAGGAGUAAAGAAUGAUUAAGAAUAAAGAGUAGAAUCAAUUAAUCUACUUGCAUGAGUUGCAUGAGUUGCAUGAUUUGCAUAUUGCAUAUUGUGAGGCAUGAACAUGAUAAAUGUUAGUUGCAUGAAUCAUUUAUAUCUGUGGAUAUUUGUUGGAGUAAUAUGUUGCAGUGCCUCUUUUGGACCUGGUGGGUCGAGCUCUUCCCUUGGGUGGCCAUACCCAUUGGAAACUAUGGACAAUAGUUCUCACCCCCGUGUUAUUUUUGGGGGUACAGGUUUACACGCGAGCGGCGCGACGGCGCGAGGAAAGGGCGUAGCUCCGUAAUUAGCGCCCUACCACUGAGACCAGAUAGCAGUACCCUGAGUCGGCUACUUAGGGGUAUAAAAAUGAAAAGAACCAAGUUGUAAUAAGAUUGUAAGAAUUGGAUUGUAUUUGGAAGUAAGAAUCAAGAAUGUAAAAUGUAAUGUAAUAUGUAAAAUGUAAUAUGUGAGUUGAAUGCUUGUAAUAGCAUAGAUGUAUUUAUGUUUUCGAUAUCUUCCUUAUGCAAUCUAUGUUUGUAUGCUGUUCAUGGUUGGAACCUCGCGCAUUGUAUGGAUUGUGACGCCUUGAACGUACAGGUGAGACUCUGUCU